UGUAAAUUUUUCUGUGAAGGCAGAUUAUGUAAUCAGCACAAUUACUAAUAUAUUAAUAUAUUGAAUUAGGAUGAUGAUACAAUACAUAUAGACUAGAUAAAUUAACACAUUAUGUGUAUUGGAUUAAAAAAGAUUGGACCAUUUAAGCGCCAAUGAUGUUUUACACAUUCUUUACAACCACGUAGAUCAGAAAUAUAAACUAGACUAAUAAUGGACAGUCAUGUCAAGUACAUCCAAGGACACUCAAGAGCUAGCGCCAUUCCAAGCAAUGACAAGUGGUCUUCACAUACUCGCAGUAGAUGUCACAAUUCUUGCAAGCCAAAACCAAAAUCAAUUGAAUCAAGUAGUAGUUACUAUUGUUGUUACAGAGGCCACUUAUACCCAUAAUACACACGACCC